UACGUAGGGGGCAAGCGUUGUCCGGAUUUAUUGGGCGUAAAGAGCGUGUAGGCGGCCUGACAGGUCUGCUGUGAAAACUCGAGGCUCAACCUCGAGAUGUCGGCGGAAACCGUCUGGCUAGAGUCCGGAAGAGGAGAGUGGAAUUCCUGGUGUAGCGGUGAAAUGCGCAGAUAUCAGGAAGAACACCUAUGGCGAAGGCAGCUCGCUGGGACGGUACUGACGCUGAGGCGCGAAAGCGUGGGGAGCAAACAGG
rnacentral:rRNA from 1 species